CCCUGAUAAUCAAGUUAAGCUGCUGAAGGAAAUCUUCAGGCAGUUUGCUGAAGCCUGUGGACAUGCUCUCGAUGUCAACGAACGCCUCAUUAAGGAGGACCAAUUUGAGUAUCAGGGAGAGAUGAAGUCUCAUUACAAGGACAUGCUCAGCGAGCUCUCUGUAGUUAUGAAUGAACAGAUUGCGUACAAGGAGGACUCAGCAAAGCAUCCAGGGAUGGAGCGCACGUAUUCCCGAGUCAUCCAUAGAGCCAGCUCCUCCGUGC
rnacentral:lncRNA from 1 species